rnacentral:piRNA from 1 species
CAGACGGAUCGCCUGGUGCAAGCCCAAAGC